rnacentral:rRNA from 1 species
UACGUAGGUGACCAGCGUUGUCCGGAUUUACUGGGCGUAAAGAGCGCGCAGGCGGUCGUUCAAGUCGAGUGUGAAAGCCCCCGGCUCAACUGGGGAGGGUCACUCGAUACUGAUCGACUUGAAGGCAGGAGAGGGAAGCGGAAUUCCCGGUGUAGUGGUAAAAUGCGUAGAUAUCGGGAGGAACACCAGUGGCGAAGGCGACUUCCUGGCCUGUUCUUGACGCUGAGGCGCGAAAGCUAGGGGAGCAAACGGG